UCUCGAUCAACUUGAAUUUCAAAUGUUAUUUGCCCUUACAAAAGAAAGAAGAUAGAAUCAUACGUAAAAUUGAGUUGCUUCUCCUUGGACAGACCUGGUCUCGAUCAACUUGAAUUUCAAAUGUUAUUUGCCCCCACAAAAGAAAGAAGAUAGAAUCAUACGUAAAAUGCAUAUCAAUCGACGCGUAAAUAUGUACUAUAUGAUUCAUAAAUAUUAGUUCAUAAUUCGGCGUAUCUUAUAUGGAAACUCAAUUCACACGCCAAAAGAAGAGAAAAAUG
rnacentral:lncRNA from 1 species